UACGAAGGGGGCUAGCGUUGUUCGGAAUUACUGGGCGUAAAGCGCACGUAGGCGGAUCGAUCAGUCAGGGGUGAAAUCCCAGAGCUCAACUCUGGAACUGCCUUUGAUACUGUCGAUCUGGAGUAUGGAAGAGGUGAGUGGAAUUCCGAGUGUAGAGGUGAAAUUCGUAGAUAUUCGGAGGAACACCAGUGGCGAAGGCGACUCUUUGGCCUGUAACUGACGCUGAGGCGCGAAAGCGUGGGGAGCAAACAGG
rnacentral:rRNA from 1 species